rnacentral:rRNA from 1 species
GACGUAGGGCGCGAGCGUUGUCCGGAUUUAUUGGGCGUAAAGAGCUCGUAGGCGGCUUGUCGCGUCGUCCGUGAAAACCCACAGCUCAACUGUGGGCUUGCGGUCGAUACGGGCAGGCUAGAGUUCGGUAGGGGAGACUGGAAUUCCUGGUGUAGCGGUGAAAUGCGCAGAUAUCAGGAGGAACACCGGUGGCGAAGGCGGGUCUCUGGGCCGAUACUGACGCUGAGGAGCGAAAGCAUGGGUAGCGAACAGG